rnacentral:sRNA from 1 species
UUGGGUGGGGGUCCCGGGACUGGACCUGUAGUGCCACCUCCUGGGGUGUGUGGAGAGGCGCUCUGGUCAGCCAGAGAAGCUGGUAGUCCUGGGCAGGCUUGUGUGUACAUGUGUGCAUGUGUGUGAUGCAUGUGUGCAUGUGUGUUCAUGUAUGUGAUGCAUGUGUAUCCGUGUUCAUGUGUGAUGCAUGUAUCCUUGUGUACAUCUGUGUUCAUGUGUGUGGUGCAUGUGAUGUGUCCAUGUGUCUGUUCAUUUAUGCGAUGCAUGUGCUCGUGUACAUCUGUGUGUGUGAUGCAUGGUCCAUGUGUGUGUUCAUGUAUGUGAUGCAUGUGUGUCCGUGCGUGUGAUGCAUGUGUGUUCAUGUGUACAUCUGUGUUCAUGUGUGAUGCAUGGUCCAUGUGUACAUCUGUGUUCAUGUGUGAUGUAUGUGUCCAUGUGUACAUCUGUGUGAUGCAUGUGUGUGCAACCGUGUUCAUGUGUGUGAUGCAUGUAUCCAUGUGUGGAUCUGUUUCAUGCAUGUGAUGCAUGUGUCCAUGUGUGCACCCGUGUUCGUGUGUGAUGCGUGUGUGUGCACACACAUCUCUGUAUGUAUUCCCAGCACUCACAGCUGCCCUGGAUCCAUAUCCAGCUCUCGUGCCACUUCCUGUGUGACCUUGAGCAGCCAGCAGCCCCCUGGGUUAGCCCCCUGGGGAGACAUGGCCAGGUUGGGCAGGACGUGGGUGUAGGGCUUGUGAUGCCAAUGCUGUGCCAGUCAGGAGGCCCAGGGCAUGGGGAUGGCCGGGCUACCCAGCGAGCUGUUGGCUGUGCCAGGACAGACCCCAGGCUCCCAGUGGCCCUGCUCUGAAGCGUGGUUCUGUCUCCCCACCUGGGGGCAGCCAGGUCCCCCUCCCCACCCCGCCGCAGGAGACUGGCCGUCCCUGCCAGCCUCGACGUUUCUGACAACUGGCUUCGGCCGGAGCCCCCUGGCCAGGAAGCCCGAGUGCAGAGCUGGAAGGAGGAGGAGAAGAAACCCCACCUUCAGGGCAAACCAGGGAGACCCUUGUCCCCGGCCAAUGUCCCUGCUCUGCCUGGCGAGACGGUGACCUCCCCAGUCAGGGUGAGUAGUGGUGGGGAGCCGGGCAGGGGCCUAGCCCUCCGGCAUCCUCACCGCUCCUCCGUUCCCAGCUGCACCCCGACUACCUCUCCCCGGAGGAGAUACAGAGGCAGCUGCAGGACAUCGAGAGGCGGCUGGACGCCCUGGAGCUCCGUGGCGUGGAGCUGGAGAAGCGACUGCGGGCGGCCGAGGGAGAUGACGCUGAGGAUAGCCUCAUGGUGGACUGGUUCUGGCUCAUUCACGAGAAGCAGCUUCUGCUGAGACAGGAGUCAGAGCUGAUGUACAAGUCCAAGGCCCAGCGUCUGGAGGAGCAGCAGCUGGACAUCGAGGGUGAGCUGCGCCGGCUCAUGGCCAAGCCCGAGGCUCUGAAGUCACUGCAGGAGCGGCGGCGGGAGCAGGAGCUGCUGGAGCGGUACGUGAGCACCGUGAACGACCGCAGUGACAUCGUGGACUCGCUGGACGAGGACCGGCUCCGGGAACAAGAGGAGGAUCAGAUGCUGCGGGACAUGAUUGAGAAGCUGGGCCUCCAGAGGAAGAAGUCCAAGUUCGGCUUGUCCAAGAUCUGGUCACCAAAAAGCAAAAGCAAAAGCAGCCCCUCCCAGUAGUAGCCAGUAGGGCCGUGGGCUCGGCCCGGACCUGGCAUCCGGACUUGGACUCGGGGCCAUGGGCUUGGCCCGGACCCGGAACCCGGACUUGGACUCGGGGCCAUGGGCUCGGCCCGGACCCGGCAUUCGGACUUGGACUCGGGAAGGGCCUCCUGUCCCUACAAGGGGCAUGUGGACAGCAGGGACCUGCGCUACCGUCUGUGGUCUCAAUAAAGAAACCGACCACAUGG